GAGUCUUUCUCUCCUUAUCCCCCGAGCAUUUCGGUCCCUCGUGAUUCGACUUCUCUUUCUGUAGUUUUAGUAUAAUAAGGUGAGCGCUGAAGCGCUGCACGAAUCUUUCUUAGAAAGAUUCAGCGACGAAGUUCUGCCCCUGCAGAGCCCGACUCCUAGCUAAAAUCCCCUUGAAAGUUUCGUCAAAGGAAAUUAUUUUAAAGUAAACGAAGCGCUGUCCGAGUACCGAGUCACCACCUUCUCAGGUGUUGAUAUGAAGUCACAAUACACUGAGAGAUUUAAAGAGAUGUAGAUCACUAGUGUAAAUAAUUGUAAGUUCUGUUUAUGCUUAUGUUUCUGUAUUAACGAUGACAUCCCAAACGUUUUAAAAUGAAAUAAAUACGUUUCAUCGAAAAUGUUUUAAUAACGUAUUUACCAUGUUUUUCUGGGAACAAAUUCCGCAACAUUUUUAUAAAAUGAAGUACUCUGAUUUUUAUAAAGCAUAAACAAAAUCGGUCUUUUCUGGCCGUGAAAAUGGGGAUGUCACAGGCACGGGCUCGGUUUAGGAUCGGCUCAUAUACGAUAUACUCUAAUUUCCUAAAAUGGUAUUUAUUAAAUUACUAUAUAUUUUAGUAUAUAAAAAUAAAAAUAAAAUUUUUAAUUAUAUAUAUGUAGGCUCGUUUAGGCUCGCGAGCCUAACUGAGCCAAGUAACAGUGGCUCGAGCUCGAGCUCGUUUAAUAAACAAGUCUAAUAUUAAGCUCGAGCUCGGCUUGGGCUCGUUUAAAAUCGAUCUCGAGUCGAGCUUUUAACGAUUCGAUCUCGAGUUAUUCACGAGUAGUUUGGCUCGU